GUACGGUCAGUCUAUCUGGCGGUGGACGGGAGAAGACUGGACGCGGGCAACACCUGGGUGCCAGUCCGGGACAAAACAGUUUUAGAAGUCCGCUGUGUUGCUGAAGGUGGAGUGCCACCACCAGACCUCUCGUGGCGACUGCUAGCACAAGAACCGUCGCUGGAUCACAGACCGUACUUGAGGAUACACCACACGAACUACUCGAUAGAGGGCGUAUCGUCCUCGCAUGCAGUAGUGACGGCUGCGCGGGAGUUGCACAACGCGACGCUGCAAUGCGAGG